CAGAAUUAUUAAAUGAAGGAAUCUGCUUCAGAAUUACUGACUGCAUGUCGCUGCAACAUCUGUGUUACAAAGUUUGAUUGCUUGAAAUAUUGAAAAGUUUGGAUUAGGGGACUAUUUGGAGCGUCGGCAGUGCAGUUGGCGCUUGACCGGAUCAUAUUUUACAUAUCCAGGUACAAUCUCCGCUAUAUAGUAAUGAGUUCUUCGAAUUUCAUGAUAACAUUCAUCCGACAUUCUUACUGUAAUUACAAAUUGCAUACAACUGCAUAGAAAUUCAAAGAUAUGUGUGAAGUCAUGAAGUCAUGUGUGACUCUGCGUUGUUGAAUAAGACCUAGUCGCAUUCUUGAGGGUAGGCUCCGAGCUCCUCUGUGGAGUAUAGUGUGUCCGUAUAGUGAGCUUGAUGAUGACGAUUUGUUUUGCUUCAAUGCAUAUUGUCUUGUUAGCAAUUUUCUAAAUAUUUUACCAACAGAUAGGAGCUAAUCUCUUUCCAGUGUUAUUCUAUUUCUCC